AGAGUUUGAUCCUGGCUCAGGACGAACGCUGGCGGCGUGCUUAACACAUGCAAGUCGAACGGUGAAGCCCUUCGGGGUGGAUCAGUGGCGAACGGGUGAGUAACACGUGGGCAAUCUGCCCUGCAUUCUGGGACAAGCCUUGGAAACGAGGUCUAAUACCGGAUACGACGCAUCUCCGCAUGGAGUGUGCGUGGAAAGCUCCGGCGAUGCAGGAUGAGCCCGCGGCCUAUCAGCUUGUUGGUGGGGUAAUGGCCUACCAAGGCGACGACGGGUAGCCGGCCUGAGAGGGCGACCGGCCACACUGGGACUGAGACACGGCCCAGACUCCUACGGGAGGCAGCAGUGGGGAAUAUUGCACAAUGGGCGAAAGCCUGAUGCAGCGACGCCGCGUGAGGGAUGACGGCCUUCGGGUUGUAAACCUCUUUCAGCAGGGAAGAAGCGCAAGUGACGGUACCUGCAGAAGAAGCACCGGCUAACUACGUGCCAGCAGCCGCGGUAAUACGUAGGGUGCGAGCGUUGUCCGGAUUUAUUGGGCGUAAAGAGCUCGUAGGCGGCUUGUCGCGUCGGAUGUGAAAGCCCGGGGCUUAACUCCGGGUCUGCAUUCGAUACGGGCAGGCUAGAGUGUGGUAGGGGAGAUCGGAAUUCCUGGUGUAGCGGUGAAAUGCGCAGAUAUCAGGAGGAACACCGGUGGCGAAGGCGGAUCUCUGGGCCAUUACUGACGCUGAGGAGCGAAAGCGUGGGGAGCGAACAGGAUUAGAUACCCUGGUAGUCCACGCCGUAAACGUUGGGAACUAGGUGUGGGUCACAUUCCACGUGGUCCGCGCCGCAGCUAACGCAUUAAGUUCCCCGCCUGGGGAGUACGGCCGCAAGGCUAAAACUUAAAGGAAUUGACGG
rnacentral:rRNA from 1 species